UCUCACUUCAUUUCAUUCAUUUCAUCUUCCAUUGCUGAUACCCUUUCUUCCAGUUGAUUGCAUCGGCUCCUGAGGCUUCUGCAUUCUUCACGUAGUUCUCGAGCCUUGGUUUUCAGCUCCAUCAGCUCCUUUAAGCACUUCUCUGUAUUGGUUAUUCUAGUUAUACAUUCUUCUACAUUUUUUUCAAAGUUUUCAACUUCUUUGCCUUUGGUUUGAAUGUCCUCCCAUAGCUCAGAGUAAUUUGAUCGUCUGAAGCCUUCUUCUCUUAGCUUGUCAAAGUCAUUCUCCGUCCAGCUUUGUUCCAUUGCUGGUGAGGAACUGCGUUCCUUUGGAGGAGGAGAGGCACUCUGCUUUUUAGAGUUUCCAGUUUUUCUGUUCUGUUUUUUCCCUAUCUUUGUGGUUUUAUCUACUUUUGGUCUUAGAUGAUGGUGAUGUACGGAUGGGUUUUUGGUGUGGAUGUCCUUUCUGUUUGUUAGUUUUCCUUCUAACAGACAGGACCCUCAGCUGUAGGUCUGUUGGAGUACCCUGCCGUGUGAGGUGUCAGUGUGCCCCUGCUGGGGGGUGCCUCCAAGUUAGGCUGCUCGGGGGUCAGGGGUCAGGGUCCCACUUGAGGAGGCAGUCUGCCCGUGCUCAGAUCUCCAGCUGCGUGCUGGGAGAACCACUGCUCUCUUCAAAGCUGUCAGACAGGGAUAUUUAAGUCUGCAGAGGUUACUGCUGUCUUUUUGUUUGUCUGUGCCCUGCCCCCAGAGGUGGAGCCUACAGAGGCAGGCAGGCCUCCUUGAGCUGUGGUGGGCUCCACCCAGUUCGAGCUUCCCAGCUGCUUUGUUUACCUCAGCAAGCCUGGGCAAUGGCAGGCGCCCCUCCCCCAGCCUCGCUGCGGCCUUGCAGUUUGAUCUCAGACUGCUGUGCUAGCAAUCAGGGAGACUCCGUGGGUGUAGGACCCUCCGAGCCAGGUGCAGGAUAUAAUCUCGUGGUGCACCGUUUUUUAAGCCCGUCGUAAAAGUGCAGUAUUCAGGUGGGAGUGACCCAAUUUUCCAGGUGCCGUCAGUCACCCCUUUCUUUAACUAGGAAAGGGAACUCCCUGACCCCUUGCGCUUCCCGAGUGAGGCAAUGCCUCGCCGUGCUUCAGCUCACGCACGGUGCGUGCACCCACUGACCUGCGCCCACUGUCUGGCACUCCCUAGUGAGAUGAACCCGGUACCUCAGAUGGAAAUGCAGAAAUCACCCGUCUUCUGCGUCGCUCAUGCUGGGAGCUGUAGACCGGAGCUGUUCCUAUUCGGCCAUCUUGGCUCCUCCCCCCCCAGAUCUCAUUCUUAAUAAAAGACAAGUAAGUUAAAAUCGUAAUGAAAAACUGUUUCCGGUAUCAGGCUGGCAAAGAUAAAAAGGUUCGCUAAUAUACUGAGAGCAAGUGUAUGGGAAAAACAGAAUUCUAUACUUACACACUAUUGCUGGAAAUGUAAAUGGUGGAAACUCCAUUGAAGGGAACUUGGCAAUAUUUGCCAAAAUUAAAAGUGCUCAUACUCUUGGCCUAGAAUUCUAUUUUAAAAC
rnacentral:lncRNA from 10 species